UCCCCCUUAGCUCAGUGGUAGAGCGCGUCACUAGUAUCGCUAUGUGGUACAGUGCCCAUGACGAGGUCAGUCGUUCAAGUCGGCUAGGGGGAA
rfam:Termitomyces sp. J132 unplaced genomic scaffold scaffold83, whole genome shotgun sequence.